rnacentral:piRNA from 1 species
UGGCCACCAAGUAGACAGCAAAGGCACUGU